AUUGAACGCUGGCGGCAUGCCUUACACAUGCAAGUCGAACGCGAAAGCGGGGCAACCCGCAAGUAGAGUGGCGAACGGGUGAGUAAUACAUCGGAACGUGUCCAGUAGCGGGGGAUAACCUCUCGAAAGAGAGGCUAAUACCGCAUACGUCCUACGGGAGAAAGAGGGGGAUCGCAAGACCUCUCACUAUUGGAGCGGCCGAUGUCGGAUUAGCUAGUUGGUGGGGUAAAAGCCCACCAAGGCUACGAUCCGUAGCUGGUCUGAGAGGACGACCAGCCACACUGGAACUGAGACACGGUCCAGACUCCUACGGGAGGCAGCAGUGGGGAAUUUUGGACAAUGGGCGCAAGCCUGAUCCAGCCAUGCCGCGUGAGUGAAGAAGGCC
rnacentral:rRNA from 1 species